rnacentral:lncRNA from 1 species
AUCAUCUCCCUGCUUUCCCGUCCAAGCAGAACCGCUCUGCUUUUCUGUUUCAUAUUUUGGAUAUUUAAGAUUUCAUUUGGAAAAGAAUUUUCACGGCUUCAAAACCAAUUUAGCCUUGUCUUCCCCGGUGGUCUCGUGGGUAGGACUGAGCGCGUUCAUGGCUGCAGCCCGGGUUCCAUUCCCCGUCUAGGAACUCAGAUCCCACAUCAAGACGCAGCAGGGUGCAGCCAAAAAAAAAAAGACAAAAACAAUCUAGCAUCGGCUGAUGUCUUAGGGAGGAAGAGCAGAGGAUGAGACGUGGAGUAUGGAAGAUCUGCCUUUGAGACCGAGAACCACGUGUUCCCAGAAAUAGGACAUGGAGACGUAUGGGAACCAGCGCUGCCUGUGGUCCUGCGGUGCCACCAGCCUGCCUCGUGGCCACCCCAGGCUGAAAAGGACCAGGGUCUGACCUCCACGUCAUGGGAAAAUGAAAGCCGGAUGCCAGGUUGUGGUGUGGCUCUAACAGGAAGCAGGUGGCCCUUUUGUUGUGCACCUGUGUUCUUUGCUGUCACCAAGGUGGGCCCAGAGCGCCUUCGGAAUACGGCAGAGAUACUGUAACGCCACCUGCCAGGGCUGUGACUCGAACCAGGCAAGUGAGGUAAGCACCUCAAAGGACAAAUUUUAAAGAGUGCCCCAAAUGCAGUAAUCAAGAGAAAUUAGCAUUUAAUAUAAUGCUUUUUUAAAAAUAAAAGCGAAUGCACAAAAAUCCA